rnacentral:rRNA from 1 species
AGGACGAAUGCUGGCGGCGUGCUUAACACAUGCAAGUCGAGCGGAAAGGCCCUUCGGGGUACUCGAGCGGCGAACGGGUGAGUAACACGUGAGUAAUCUGCCCAUCGCUUCAGGAUAGCCAUCGGAAACGGUGAUUAAUACUGGAUAUGACAUUCCUUCGCAUGUUGGGGUGUGGAAAGUUUUUUCGGCAGUGGAUGUGCUCGCGGCCUAUCAGCUUGUUGGUGGGGUAAUGGCCUACCAAGGCUUUGACGGGUAGCCGGCCUGAGAGGGUGACCGGCCACACUGGGACUGAGACACGGCCCAGACUCCUACGGGAGGCAGCAGUGGGGAAUAUUGGACAAAU